rnacentral:piRNA from 1 species
UCUUCCGGUUCCAGCCCACAA